AAAUUUUAGUUUAUAAAAAAUUAUUUAUUUACAUUAAAUAGAAUUAAAUAUUAAAUUUAAAAAUUUUA
rnacentral:tRNA from 1 species